AGCGAACGCUGGCGGCAGGCCUAACACAUGCAAGUCGAGCGCCCGGCAACGGGAGCGGCAGACGGGUGAGUAACGCGUGGGGAUCUACCCAUUGGUACGGAAUAACCCAGGGAAACUUGGAUUAAUACCGUAUAAGCCCUUCGGGGGAAAGAUUUAUCGCCAAUGGAUGAACCCGCGUCGGAUUAGCUAGUUGGGGGGGUAAAGGCCCACCAAGGCGACGAUCCGUAGCUGGUCUGAGAGGAUGAUCAGCCACACUGGGACUGAGACACGGCCCAGACUCCUACGGGAGGCAGCAGUGGGGAAUAUUGGACAAUGGGCGCAAGCCUGAUCCAGCCAUGCCGCGUGAGUGAUGAAGGCCUUAGGGUUGUAAAGCUCUUUCGCCGGUGAAGAUAAUGACGGUAACCGGAGAAGAAGCCCCGGCUAACUUCGUGCCAGCAGCCGCCGUAA
rnacentral:rRNA from 1 species